UGGGGAAUCUUCCGCAAUGGACGAAAGUCUGAUGGAGCAACGCCGCGUGAGUGAUGACGGCCUUCGGGUUGUAAAGCUCUGUUAAUCGGGACGAAUGGUUCUUGUGCGAAUAGUGCAAGGAUUUGACGGUACCGGAAUAGAAAGCCACGGCUAACUACGUGCCAGCAGCCGCGGUAAUACGUAGGUGGCAAGCGUUGUCCGGAAUUAUUGGGCGUAAAGCGCGCGCAGGCGGAUUGGUCAGUCUGUCUUAAAAGUUCGGGGCUUAACCCCGUGAUGGGAUGGAAACUGCCAAUCUAGAGUAUCGGAGAGGAAAGUGGAAUUCCUAGUGUAGCGGUGAAAUGCGUAGAUAUUAGGAAGAACACCAGUGGCGAAGGCGACUUUCUGGACGAAAACUGACGCUGAGGCGCGAAAGCCAGGGGAGCGAACGGG
rnacentral:rRNA from 1 species